CCUCGGGGCGCACCAGUGAGGAAUUUUGCGCAAUGGGGGGAACCCUGACGCAGCAACGCCGCGUGAGUGAAGAAGGCCUUUGGGUCGUAAAGCUCUGUCAACUGGGAAGAAAUUAGAGUUGUUUAACAGAUGAUUCUAUUGACGGUACCAGUGGAGGAAGCGCCGGCUAACUCCGUGCCAGCAGCCGCGGUAACACGGGGGGCGCAAGCGUUAUUCGGAAUUAUUGGGCGUAAAGGGCGCGCAGGCGGUCUUGUCGGUCAGGUGUGAAAGCCCGGGGCUCAACCCUGGAAGUGCACUUGAAACAGAAAGACUUGAGUACGGGAGAGGAAAGCGGAAUUCCUGGUGUAGAGGUGAAAUUCGUAGAUAUCAGGAGGAACACCGAUGGCGAAGGCAGCUUUCUGGACCGAUACUGACGCUGAGGCGCGAAGGCGUGGGUAGCGAACGGGAUUAGAUACCCUAGUAGUC
rnacentral:rRNA from 1 species